GCGGGCGUAGUACAAUGGCUAGUAUAUCAGCCUUCCAAGCUGAGGAUGUGGGUUCGAUCCCCAUCGCCCGCU
rnacentral:tRNA from 1 species